rfam:Vibrio phage nt-1, complete genome.
AGCUCCAUAGUUUAACGGUAAAACACGCGACCGAUAAUCGCACGUUGACAGUUCGAGUCUGUCUGGGGCUA